UCAAGUCAGCAUGGCCUUUAUGUCCAGGGCGACACACACGCUACAAUGGGCGGUACAAUGGGAAGCGAAAGGGAGACCUGGAGCGAAUCCUAUCAAAGCCGUUCGUAGUUCAGAUUGUAGGCUGCAACUCGCCUACAUGAAGCUGGAGUUGCUAGUAACCGCAGGUCAGCCAUACUGCGGUGAAUACGUUCCCGGGCCUU
rnacentral:rRNA from 1 species